rnacentral:rRNA from 1 species
UACGUAGGAGGCAAGCGUUAUCCGGAAUGACUGGGCGUAAAGGGUGCGUAGGUGGUUCAGCAAGUUAGUAGCGUAACUCCGGGGCUCAACCUCGGCACUACUACUAAAACUGUUGAACUUGAGUGCAGGAGGGGUGAAUGGAAUUCCCAGUGUAGCGGUGGAAUGCGUAGAUAUUGGGAAGAACACCAGCGGCGAAGGCGAUUCACUGGACUGUAACUGACACUGAGGCACGAAAGCGUGGGGAGCAAACAGG